rnacentral:rRNA from 1 species
UACGUAGGGCGCAAGCGUUAAUCGGAAUUAUUGGGCGUAAAGCGUGCGUAGGCGGCUAUGUAAGACAGGUGUGAAAUCCCAGGGCUCAACCUUGGAACUGCAUUUGUGACUGCAUAGCUAGAGUACGGUAGAGGGGGAUGGAAUUCCGCGUGUAGCAGUGAAAUGCGUAGAUAUGCGGAGGAACACCGAUGGCGAAGGCAAUCCCCUGGACCUGUACUGACGCUCAUGCACGAAAGCGUGGGGAGCAAACAGG